CGUGAGGAACCUACCCCGGACUCAGGGAUAACGGCUGGAAACGGCUGCUAAUACCUGAUGCCGUCGGAGCAUCACAUGGUGCACUGACGAAAGAAUCUCGGUUCGGGAGGGUCUCGCGGCCUAUCAGCUAGUUGGUGGGGUAACGGCCUACCAAGGCAUCGACGGGUAGCUGGUCUGAGAGGAUGAUCAGCCACACUGGGACUGAGACACGGCCCAG
rnacentral:rRNA from 1 species